GUCCGAGUGAGCGACCCUUGAGUUUCUGCGGAUCAAAGAUUUGCCACAGAGAUAUAGGAUCCAGUCUAGGGAGCUAGAAAUCUGUUACUACUGUCUUGCACAUUGAAGUAUCACCAGGGAGGAUUUCGACUUCUGACUGGGUUGUGAACCAAAUCCAUUGACCUGACUCCAAACAGGGUGAGAAACCCUGGGGUUCCUGAGGGCAGUGCCGGGGCGUAGGAGCUUGAGGGGAAGCAGGAGGGAUCCGUGUUUCCUGCAGUUUGUCCAGGAGAGCGCCAGUGUACCAGGGCCGGGCUGUCCUGAUGGUUAGGGUCCGAGGUCUUUGCUCAUCUCCCUGAAUGAUAGAAUUCACUGGGUGUGUACUUGAUGGAGGUCAACUUCCUGAAGACCGAACAGGCCUAUUGUCAUGGGUCUUGCCUUGACUGGCUUUGUGUAAAAGCCCUGAACCUAUCUUGUAAGUCCCUCUAACUAAUAAUGUGCUUGUCCUAAUCAUGGUCCCAUUCCUGCUACUGCAGUCCCACUUGUACCUGUGAUGUAUUAAUCUGCCACCA